AACUAUUUAUAAUGGCAUUUUAAUUCAUAUUAAUGACAACAUACUCAUAUGUAUGUUCACUUUUAUCUUAUGAUAAUAAAAGAUGAUUAAUUCAAAUUUUACCUUCUGAUAAUAAAAGAUGCAUAAACCUGUAGGAUUUCAUCUUUCAUUCAUUUUUCCAGUCUGUUCCUAAACCGGGAAGGUUCAAAAAGAUGUUAAAUAAUAAGUUGAGAAAAAUACAGGACCAUACAACCAACCAACCAACCAACCCUUUAAACCCAACCCAAAAAAGAAGAUACAGCACUAUUCUUAGCCCAAACAAAUACUACAUUUCAUAGACACAAAAAAGAGGUCCCUAAGGAAAUCACGCCAACACGUGAGAUGCAAAUUAAUAUUGGUUCUGUAACUCUUUCGGUAAGCAUGCUUCAAUUUUCCGGAACCCAUCAGGCCAAUAACAGUGGCAGAAGUUCAUAUCUGUCUUGGUCAAAGCGGCGCCCCAAAAAAAUGUGGGAACUUAA
rnacentral:lncRNA from 1 species